rnacentral:piRNA from 1 species
UACCAUGUUGUGGCCAUUUCUCAGUGAGA